CUGAUGCAGCGACGCCGCGUGAGGGAUGACGGCCUUCGGGUUGUAAACCUCUUUCAGCAGGGACGAAGCGCAAGUGACGGUACCUGCAGAAGAAGCACCGGCUAACUACGUGCCAGCAGCCGCGGUAAUACGUAGGGUGCAAGCGUUGUCCGGAAUUACUGGGCGUAAAGAGUUCGUAGGCGGUUUGUCGCGUCGUUUGUGAAAACCAGCAGCUCAACUGCUGGCUUGCAGGCGAUACGGGCAGACUUGAGUACUGCAGGGGAGACUGGAAUUCCUGGUGUAGCGGUGAAAUGCGCAGAUAUCAGGAGGAACACCGGUGGCGAAGGCGGGUCUCUGGGCAGUAACUGACGCUGAGGAACGAAAGCGUGGGUAGCGAACAGGAUUAGAUACCCUGGUAGUCCACGCCGUAAACGGUGGGCGCUAGGUGUGGGUUCCUUCCACGGAAUCCGUGCCGUAGCUAACGCAUUAAGCGCCCCGCCUGGGGAGUACGGCCGCAAGGCUAAAACUCAAAGGAAUUGACGGGGGCCCGCACAAGCGGCGGAGCAUGUGGAUUAAUUCGAUGCAACGCGAAGAACCUUACCUGGGUUUGACAUAUACCGGAAAGCUGCAGAGAUGUGGCCCCCCUUGUGGUC
rnacentral:rRNA from 2 species